rnacentral:rRNA from 1 species
CCUACGGGGGCAGCAGUAAGGAAUAUUGGUCAAUGGAGGCAACUCUGAACCAGCCAUGCCGCGUGCAGGAUGACGGCCCUAUGGGUUGUAAACUGCUUUUAUACAAGAGAAAACCCUGGUACGUGUACCAGGUUGAUAGUAUUGUAAGAAUAAGCAUCGGCUAACUUCGUGCCAGCAGCCGCGGUAAGACGAAGGAUGCAAGCGUUAUCCGGAUUCAUUGGGUUUAAAGGGUGCGUAGGCGGACUGAUAAGUCAGUGGUGAAAUCUCUUUGCUUAACAAGAAACUGCCAUUGAUACUGUCGGUCUAGAGUAUAGAUGACGUUGGCGGAAUAUGACAUGUAGUGGUGAAAUACUUAGAUAUGUCAUAGAACACCGAUUGCGAAGGCAGCUAACGAAACUAUAACUGACGCUGAGGCACGAAAGUGCGGGGAUCAAACAGGAUUAGAUACCCUGGUAGUCCGCACCGUAAACGAUGAUUACUCGUUGUUGGCGAUAUGACAGUCAGCGACCAGCGAAAGCGAUAGUAAUCCACCUGGGGAGUACGCCGGCAACGGUGAAACUCAAAUGAAUUGACGGGCGNGAGACGNGCGACGGACGACGACGAGGGGAGGAGG